rnacentral:tRNA from 1 species
UCAGUUAUAACUCAGUGGUAGAGUGCGUGCUUAGCAUGCACGAGGUCCUGGGAUCAAUCCCCAGUACCUCUG